GACAGAGGUGCCGAGCGUUAGGCGGAAUCACUGGGCUUAAAGCGUGUGUAGGCGGACGGGUAAGUACCUUGUGAAAUCCCACGGCUCAACCGUGGAACUGCUUGGUAUACUGCCGUUCUUGAAUCACCUAGGGGCAGCUGGAACUGAUGGUGGAGCGGUGAAAUGCAUAGAUAUCAUCAGGAACGCCAAUGGUGCAGACAAGCUGCUGGGGGUGUAUUGACGCUGAGGCGCGAAAGCCAGGGGGAGCAAACGGG
rnacentral:rRNA from 1 species